UACGGAGGGUGCAAACGUUGCUCGGAAUUAUUGGGCGUAAAGCGCACGUAGGCGGCUCGGUAAGUCGGAUGUGAAAUCCCUCGGCUCAACCGAGGAAGUGCAUCCGAAACUGGCGAGCUUGAGUACGGAAGAGGGUCUCGGAAUUCCCGGUGUAGAGGUGAAAUUCGUAGAUAUCGGGAGGAACACCAGUGGCGAAGGCGGAGACCUGGGCCGAUACUGACGCUGAGGUGCGAAAGCGUGGGGAGCAAACAGG
rnacentral:rRNA from 1 species